GUUGCUGCGCUGAUCAUUACCACAGUGUCGGGCACACGGAGAACGCUCUUAAGCAGCAAUUACUACCACUACUCUGACCGACCACCACGUGAAACUAGGGUAACUCAAGUGGCGCGCACAAGACCAACCAGGGACGGGAAAACGGAUUCGGUGGGGUUAAUCACGGCAGCCCGCUCCAGGACGCGGGCGAGAGCUCUGAACGCGCAAAAAUGUUUAUCUGCUUCAAGGCUGCUUUUUUAAAGCAAGGAUAACAUAACAGAACCUGUCUCGUGGAGCUGUUGUGAGGAGUAAAUGAAGUUCAGCAUUUAACAGAGCCCCGCACACAGGACACAUUCUUUCGAACUGUUACUAUAUUCGCUGUCUCCUGAAUUUGCUGAGCCCAGGAACUGUCCCCAAAAUACACAAAUCAAGACACUGAUAAGGUUGUCUGUUUUAUUUCUAGUCCGUGGAGAUGAUAGCCAGCACCACACACACUUAUAUGCGUACACACACACACACACACACACACACUUCAUCCACCUGAACUU